UACGAAGGGUGCAAGCGUUACUCGGAAUUACUGGGCGUAAAGCGUGCGUAGGUGGUUUGUUAAGUCUGCUGUGAAAGCCCCGGGCUCAACCUGGGAAUGGCAGUGGAUACUGGCGAGCUAGAGUGCGGUAGAGGGUAGUGGAAUUCCCGGUGUAGCGGUGAAAUGCGUAGAGAUCGGGAGGAACACCAGUGGCGAAGGCGGCUACCUGGCCCAAUACUGACACUGAGGCACGAAAGCGUGGGGAGCAAACAGG
rnacentral:rRNA from 1 species